rnacentral:rRNA from 1 species
UACGUAGGGUGCAAGCGUUGUCCGGAAUUAUUGGGCGUAAAGAGCGUGUAGGCGGCUUGCUAAGUCUUGCGUGAAAUCUCGGGGCUCAACCCCGAGCGGUCGUGGGAAACUGGCAGGCUAGAGUGCGGGAGAGGAGAAUGGAAUUCCUGGUGUAGCGGUGAAAUGCGCAGAUAUCAGGAAGAACACCCGUGGCGAAGGCGGUUCUCUGGAACGCAACUGACGCUGAGACGCGAAAGCGUGGGGAGCAAACAGG